UUUAGGAACACAAGAUUAGUUUAGGUAAUAGGUACCCAUGUGUCUAUAUAGUCUUAGAUCAAGAAAAUUCCUUUCGAUUUUUCUUUUUUCAGUUUGAUGGUUAAAUUGAUAAUGCCAAGAUCCCAUUGGAGCUUGACAUGUUUUAUUUACCAUUUCUGAUGAGAUUAACAUGGAUUAUUUACUUGAAAGACAGCAAAUUCAAUGAAAAGUAUGAAAAAUGAGUUGAUUACCAAUGAGAAAGAGC
rnacentral:lncRNA from 1 species